CUCCUUCCGUCCCUCCCUCCUUUCCCUUCUCUCUAUUUCUGCCCAGCCUCUGCCCUGCUCCCUGCAUUCCAGCUUCACUGAGCUGCUGUGGUCCCUGAAAGACAUGGUCCCUCAUCAUUCUCCCAUCUCCGAGGUCACCUGUCUGGGAUGCCCUUUCUCAUGCUCCCUCCUUCCUCCCUCUGUGCUGUGUCUUCUGAGACCGCCCUCAGAGGCCACCUCUCCGCAUCCCUCCCUGGCCUGGAGGACAUGUGCAUCCCUUCUCUGUGGCCACAUUACCACACAAAGACAGGGUUCUCUGCCCGAUGCCCGUAAAGAGCCAAUGAUCACACCACCAGCUUUUUCGAGGUCGGCCAGCCAGGAGGCGGGAGUCAGAGCUCUCAGAGGAUACGGUGUGGACACUAGUUCAUACCUCCAGCUUCUCCUAGCGCCGUGCCCAGGCUGGCAGACACAGUGGACACUUGCCACCCAACUGACACGCCGAGGGUCGGAUGUGCCGCAUUCGCAGGGUCCGCCUGCCCCGCCUGCAGUGGGUCCUGUGCUUUGGGCUCUGGCCCCCGUGGGAGCAGCUGCAGUGGACGCCAGGGGGACACCAGGCUGGUCGUCAUCAGUCACAGAGACCACUCUCUGUCCAGAAGUAGGAGUGUGUGACACCUCUAUCCUCGUCACACCUAUGGCUGACCUCGACUGGUAACCACAGUCUGCGGCGCUCACAUUCCCAGGAGACAGCCCAGCGGUCCCAUCCUGGUUUGUCAGGAUUGCCCACCACGCGCACGCUUCUGCUGUGUCCAGGUCCCGAUUCUGGCACAGGACGCACCACAGUGCUGCCACGUUCCUCCUCCUCUGGUCCCAGGCUUGGUGCUGGCCACCUCACAGCAGCAUGUCUGUCAUGGCCUCCAGCUCAGCUAUGCUGGCUCGUGUUGUAUCACAGCUCUGCCCGAUCUUACAUACUUAUUCUAAAUCUCUCCUCCAAAUCAGGAGAGUACCUCGAAUACGGAGGGGUCUCCAAUGGUUUGAGAGUCAGAGUUGCUUUGGAAACUAGACGCAGGCCCACCCGAGAGGCUCCAGUCCUGGAGUCCCCACAUGCCAUCCCGUGUUCAGAGAUGCGGGCACUAAAGGCCUGAUGGGAGGGAGUGGCUGCCGUCCCUAGAUGUCCACCUGCACUGCCCUCUCCCUGCUGGAGGGAGUGCCUUAGGGCAGAUGCUGUGACAAAGGUCAAAGUGACCUCUGCGUGUGAUGUCUGCCACUGGUGGCCCCAGUUGCGUAACUAAAAAGAGAACCCCAAGGAAGGGAGGGAGUCGCCCCAGGAUGAGGUGCCUGGUAGCUGCUCCUCUGGGAUGGCCCGUGGGCAAGGGACUCCCUGCGUGGCGGGUGUGGGGUUCCUGCCAAGUCACCGCCCAUAAAGCGUUAAUGAGGCGUUUGAGAUGAGGCCCCUAGUCUGGGGGUCUCCCCUUACUGGAGCCCCCUGAUCUGAAACUCCAAUGGGCCCUCCGGGGUCAGCACCCUGUGGCCCCUUGCGUGGCACUCCAGGUGUCUCUGUGCGCACUCGCCUCUGUGCUCUCCUGACCCCUGACCUCUGGACCGCGAAUGUGCAGGGAUGAACAUGGUGCGAGCCCAGAGCAUGGAGCAGCUGUGAGGGGACAGACCUGCAGGCCUGAUUGCCGAGCCUGGCAGGGCCAGCAGAGGGUCAAGAGCAGGCAGAGCCGAGCUGAGCCCUGACCCAGAAGGGAGAGGGGGGUCCCACUCCAGCAUGAGGGACCCCAUCCGCCCAGGGCGUGGCUGCUCCAGCCCUCCCUGCAGUUCAUUCUUUUAUCAGCAAACGUCCCUGCAAGGGGCUUUGGGGAGAGCUGCUCUCUGGUUCCUGGGAGGUGCUCCCUCCGGGCACCCCUGGGUCCUGGCGUGGCCCCGAGAGGCUCAGAAUCACCCAGCGUUGUGGGGCUGGAGUCUGGAGCUCAGCCUCUCCCUCAGGCCUCCCUCAGGGGUCCUCUUGCCUCAGCUCACUUGAGAAGGCCAGUCCCUCCAGGUCUCCCAGGGCCUCCAGUGGUGUCAGAGCCUGACACUGGCCAGAAACCCCUCCCACAAGAGACGCCAGGUGAGCGUCAACUCCAGCUGCCGGGAACACCAGCCGGGCUCCGUCCUCUGCACCCUGUGAGUGGGGGUCUGCCUGGGGCUGCAGGCCCAGUGCGGGGCAGUGUCCGGCCUGAGAUGGGCAGACAGGAGGGCCACCCCGGCCCGCAGAGCAGCAGCUGUCUGCCCUCGCCUCGUUGCCUCUCAUGCAGGUGGCUUCACCCACACGUUGCACCGUGUGUACAGGGAGACAGUGGCACUCUCCCGUGUUCACACACCACUCCUUCAGAAGCAGCACGUGCCCUUGAGCCUGACUCCGUCCCCAGGAGCCCGUGGAGGCACAGCAGGGCCUCUGGCCACCGCAGCAGGAGGAGCUGCAGCCUCUCUGUCAGCUGGUGGUGUGUCUCAGGGAAGCAGUGCAGAUGGGGUCUCUGGACCUGCUGGGGGCCUGGAGUGGUUUCUGAACCCCAGGGAUGGUGAGAAGUGAGGUAGGAGGCCGGUGGAGGGAGGAACAGAGAUCCCAGGCUGGCAUUCGCAUCAGUGACCAGCCCUGCAGGCAGCUGUGGUCGAGGGCGCGCGUCUGACUGGAGCAGGUGCAGGGGUGAAGUUCUCUCAGGCAGACAAGCAUUCAGUCACGUUUUCACAGGUGUAUUUAACACGUCGGCACCGCUGCUAAUGGCAGCAGCUCCCUAGCCAGCCAGGGGACCCACCCGGAUGAUCCCCUCCCCCAUGGGCCCAGUGGGCAUCCUGCUGGAGAACUGGGGCCAGCAGGCUCCUGGGGUCCCCAGUGCCCCUGCCCAUCGGCCCGGAGAAAGGAGGGCUGGAGAGGGCGGGUUCCUGGCCUCUGCUGGCUGGGCCUGUUAGAAUUCAAGGGUGGGCCGUUUUCUGUGUUUCAGGCUCCAGGACACUUAGGGUCAUCAACUUUGUUAAAUUUCUAAUCAGAAAAGUUCUGACUCUAGCACGACGGUGUUUCCCUUUCAUACAGGAUCAUGAGCCUCCCAGGUGAUGGUGAAAAUUAUAAAAUUUUAUUUAAAAUACAUUUAUUCCUUCAUUAUGAAAGUAACAGAUAGAAGGAACACAUUUCUGAAGCCAACAUGGUCUGUUAGUUAAUUAAAAAGUUAGUUAGUUUAAAAUGGUGAAAGUGAUAAUAAAAAAUAAGGAAGCAGACAUACUUUGCAUAUAUUUUUAACUUAAAACUUAUAAAUAUGCAUUAAUUCUUAAUAAGUUCAUGAGAUUUACUUUUCAUACAAUGAAAUCUUCAGAUUCUGACUGUACGUGCUGAUAAAUUCUGAUAAAGGUGCACAAUCAAUGGAGAUGCAUCAAGUUUCCAUCACGCUAGAAAGGCCCCUCUCCCCUCUGGUCAAUAUCCCACCCGGGGCCGCCUCACGCCCAGAGUGACCUCACAACCAGGGCCACCGCACACCCAGGGCCACCCUCUGCUUCCUCUGUCAUCGUUUGGGCAGCUCUGGCCUUGACUCUGUAUUUUCAUGUAGGGUGGAGACUAGUCAGCCGGUCAGGGCUGGAGUCUUAUUUUCAUUUUUGGUAUAAACCACGUGCUUACUUGAUCCCCUAAGAUACCUGCUUUUGGUACUUUUUUUUAAGUACCAGGACUGAGACUUGAAUAUGUUUGUAAAGUCACCUGAGACCAGAAAUCUUCCAAAUUUUCACAAGUUGUUUUUCGUAUUUUGAGGUAUCUUGUCUGCAGCUAAUUCAAAAGCAAUUUUUAAAGUGACUUCACUUGCCUUUGUCUUGAUUUCCCAAACUGUGUAUUGUAGAAACGACUUUCUCUCCUUUUACACGAUGCGUAGCUGGUUUAUGUAACGUUUGGUCAAGUUACGCAGUAGAGCAAGGGCAAGUGGCGUAGAUGGGUGGGCGCGACCUGACCACGUGGUUGGUGUCACCCCCACUGACACCUGCGUCUUACCGGGCUGCUGAGCCCCGAGACCAGAGCCGCCUGAGCUGGUGGAGCAGAGGUUGGUGCACACAAAUGAAUAACAACAGAUGGGAACACACACACGUGGUCCUACACCCCGAGGCAUCUCUGCACAAAGCCUGCCGUGUGGUUUCCCAGCCUCAUGUGUGUGUGUGUGUGUACGGUUAGCCUCGCUGCAGGGCCCGAGGGAGCUGCCUGCGCCCCCAAAACUGCCUUCGCUCUGACAGUGACCACACGGAAUGAGGUUCUCUGCCCGGUGCACAUAAACAGCCGCUAGCCGGGCAUCAGCCUUUGCGAAGAGACCAGCUUUAUUCUGCGAGGCUGACCUGCAGGGAGGCAGGGGGCCCUCAUCUGUCUCCCCAGUGCAGGAUUUGGGGUGAAAUUUAGGGGGCCUAGAGAACAUUUAGGCACGCGCAAACUCUGGGGGGACGGGUUUCCAUUGCUGGGCUUCAAGCAUUUAUGACGGGGUUCUAACUGUUUACGACGGGGCUCUAAACAUUCUCCGUGAAUUUUAACACUGGAUCUUCCUGAACCAGGGCCCUCGCUUCUGAUGAGAGCCCGACCUUCAAUCUCCAGUCGCAUUCUGUCCUUGGGUUCAGUGGGAAGGGGGAUCUUCGGUUCCACGGUCAUUUCAAGUCAAGAUUUCCUCUUCUGCGUGUGCUCUGGCCACGUGACUUGGCACGUUUCCUGUUUCCUGAAAGGCGAUUCUCAACCACUCUUGAUAAGAGAUAGCUCAGUUGACCUGGUGCUGGCAGGCCUGCGGUUACACCGCCAGCCGCAGGCUCGGGGUCCCCAAGGCGAUGCUUGGUGUGACAGCUCUCUGGAAGGGCCUGGAGCUCGCUGAGAGCUGAACCACGCAUGGCCGUGGUUCGUCACAGGGAAGGGACACAGAUGAAAACCGGCCCAGGAGAGGCUCCCGGGCAGAGUCCGAGUCCCCAGAUGCAGAGCACCCCCCUUCUUCCCAGCUCACCCCACAGACACCUUCCUGGAACGGAACUCGGAUAGCGGCAUGUGGGUGUGGUUCCAGAUGCAGACUCUGAGAUGAGGAUUUGUAUGAAGGACACGCUCCCCGGAAACGUGGCUGGGAGUGGGGAGUGGACGGGGAUGGGGAGGAGGUGCAUGCAGGCCUGUGGAGGGACAAGGGCUCCAUCCCGUGGAGGAACUCCGGACUCUGCAGGUCAUGGCUCGCAGGUGUCCCCGUCUGGAGGUGAGUGGCUUUGAGUGUUUGUGCCCCUGCCUGGCAGUCACCUGUUAAGGGUUGUAAAUCGCGACAACCCCAGCCCUCAGGAGCUCAGGGAAGGACCCUCCUGUGGCCGGAGGGCGGCCCUCUGUCAAAGAUCCCGAUGAUGCCCCAUGGGAGUGGGGUCCUAGAGCCCAGGGGUGUGACAUAGAAGAUGGAGACCUGGACGCGCAUCUGUGGCCGUUAUCAUCAGAGACCCCGCAUCCAGAGGGGCUAAUGGUUUUCUCCUCAGACAAGUGAGGGCUCCUGGUGUGACUGUCCGACCUCACGUGCCGGUGGGGUCAGCACCCGGCCCAGAAGCAGCAGCUCAGCAGCCACCUGCCGUCACCCCCGCCCCGACUGUGGUCACAGUGUCCCCACACCUGGGCAGAGAUGGGGCAGUGUUUUCUCUCCUUCAGAUGCCGCCCAGGCCCAGACUUUGCCCCAGAGCCUGGGGGCCGUGACAAGAUCACCACGGACUGCAGGACUGCCUGCUGUCUGCUCCAUCCCACACAGACUGUUCCCCCGUCCUCCCUCCUGUCUGGUUUGAGAUGCCAGCCUCCGUCAUCCUGACCCCAGUGGUCACAGCCCCGGCUUUGGGCAAAGGCCAGUGGCUGUUUGGAGGGGUCUGGGCCAGCGGGAAGGGACCAGCAAGAAGGCAGCACGUUCCGACUGUUCCCCAUCUUCUGACUUGUCCUCUAGCAAAGGGGGUGGAAUGUGUGACCCCGGAAAUGCCACUUGGGCGAGAUUGUUUGAGCUGAAGACCCUGGAAAAACAGCAGGUGCCAGAAGAGUGUUCUGAGCCCCCUUCCUUCCUGAGGGCAGGAGGUGUCUCUGUUACUUUCCUCAAUCUCCUCUCCUCCUUGGACCCAGCGAAAAGCAUUUGGUUUUGCCGCUUCCCUGGGUCUCUAUCACCCUCACGAGGCCCCCGUGUCACUAAAACUUACGCUACGUGAACCUGGAUGCUUUCCUCCAGCUGCUGUCUCAGCAGCUCAACUCUCAGGCCGCCGGGCCCCACGAGGUGGAGGUGACGAUUUCCCUCCCCAACGCUGGGCUCUGCACACGACCAGAGCGGGGCCUGUCUGUCCCGCCUUCCACUGUCCCAGCUGGGGCUCGGAGUGCACCAUCAGUGUCCGUGGUGUCCGUCCCGGGCCCCGUGUCAACCCAACCCCGGGGGCCUGCACGUCUUCCCGUCUCCUCCUCGUGACCCCGUUCUUCUCAUUUGUGUCAUUCAGUCCACGGUUCGGCUUCUCAACACCCAUGUUUGUGGGUCCCUGAGUGUGGCCUUCACCUCAGAAUGGGACCCAAAGGAGAAAACAGGAAGGAUUUGUAAGUCUAACCUCACUUAAAAAUAGUGCAUGAGUGACAAGCAGAUCACAGAGCUAUGACGAUGGGGCCAUCUGUUUGACAGUUACGUAAGAAGUCCAGUACCUCAAUGAGUAAAGAGCUUUAAGAGACGAACAACAAAACGGACCACAGGGCCUGGGCGUGAGCGUCACAAGGGAGGAAAAGACAAAUCGAAACACGUUCCUCUUCUCCCAUCAGAGGGCAGAGCUGCAGGGCCUCACCACCCUGUUGGCAGGAGAACCUGAAGGGGUGCGAACGGGCCUCCCAUCUGCCCUGAGGUCGAGGCCGUCGCCUGCGUGGAUCCAGGCCUUGUCCUGCAGAGUCACUCGGAGAAAUACCAACCUCGUCCAAGAUAAGAGGACAGCGCCUCUCGUCCGGCUGUGGCCUCCCAGCCGCGGGGGCUCCGUUCCUGAGCUUCUGGUGUCUCCUCUCUGUGUGCCCCCUGCGGGGCUCCAUCCCUGUCUUCUUGUCUGUCUGUCCAUCUGUCCUGCAGGCAGAGAGGCUGCCCUCACUCCCCCUUCUCCUGGCUCCUCAGUGGGCUCAGGGUCUGGCUUGUCUGUCCUGUGGGUUUGGCUUCUCCAGCCUCUUCCCGUUCUCUAGCCACCCUGACCUGGUUCCUCAGGAGACAAGGCCGGGGCGAGCGGUGGGGCCGGGGUCAGAGGGGUGGUGGGACCGAGGGCAUCUGUGCAAAAUCAACAUGUUGAAACGUCUAACUGCAUGUGUUCGCUUUAUGUUUUUCCUCUCACCCUCAUUUCAAGUCUGUGGUUUUCGUAAUUCUGUGGUUCAAGGCUCGGACGUCUUGUAAAUCAGAAUUCCCCUGAGGUUAACGGGUACCAGACUCAUGAAAGGAAAACCUGGCGGGGGUCGUGCAGGGAGAGCCUUGGAGAAGCUCUGACCUAAAGAUGCAUCCAGAGACCGUUUCUCACCAGCUCUGGAUCGUUCCAGCUUUGCCAUUGGGAGCCCUGUCAGAUGCCUGAUAUUUACUGCGUGAUGUCCUCGGGGCCACCCUGCUUCCCGAUGUCCCCUGGGCAGGCGAGAUGUGGGGUCGGUGUCCCCUGGGAAGAGGGAGUCAUCGGAUCCUGGCCCCUGGAGGGGGUUAUUGCACAGAGCCAAAAUCAAAAGACAAACACAGUGAUAGCAAUGGCGCUAACAGUUUCCGUCUACUGAGUAUCAGGUGCCCUGAGCACUCGGGCACAUUUCUUACUAAACCUCACUUUACAUAAACCCACGGUCUCAGUUCCCUCAUCCUGGUUCUGCACAAGAGGGAACCGCGUCUGGGGCUGCAGGGCCUCAGCUCGGUUCAUCUGCCUGAAGGUGGGGGCUUCCUCCGUGGUGGUGGUUUCCACUGGGACCCGCGUCACCAUCACCGACAGCAGCACUGACUGUGCCCCAGGUCCCUUAACAUGCACCCCACCCCAGGGGCUCGGGCAGCUGGUGAAGACAGCUUUCUGUGCUCACACUGGCACACGCUGCUGCCCGCUUCCUCGUGGACCUCGGAGCUAAAAAUAACCACGUGUUUUCUGUUUUAAUGGAAAAGAGGAAGUGUGCCAUUUAUUGCAUAACACUUACUAUUUUUGAAAACCCGAAUUUUUUCCACAUGUACUUUUAAAAAGUCCUUGGAGGAAAAGGCACAAUGUGGAUUUCACGGAGGGUUGCUCUCUUUGUAACCCAGAUCCUCAGGAAACAACUGAAUCAGACAUGAGGCGGAGAUGGCAACCUUCCCCAGUGCGCACGGCCCAGGGGGACCGGCAGGAAGCCCCAGACGCAUAUCACUGGGGACACAGGGCGGAGCCAGCUCCCAAGGGGCCCUGGGGCUUCUUGACCCAGGUCAUGGGGAGAGGGAUUUUCCCAGGUCUCCAUGCCCGUUGCCUGAGCAGGGGGAGGUGUCCCAGGGCCACGGCUGACCGUAGGAGCCCGUCCUCUGUGGUUGAGAGGCUACAGUCACUCUCAGCCUUCGCAGGAUGUGGGAAGAUGGAGCUUGGCCUUCAUUUGCUCCUUAAGUGAGCGAACGCCAUUGAGACACGGUAGGGGGGCCCUUGGAUCUUUUUAAGGCUGCGCUGUGAGAGAUGACCUGGGCUGGUGGCAUUCAGUGCUGUCCCUGCCCUUCCUCUCACUGAAACACUGGAAAGUUAGAAAAUGUGUAAAGAGCAGACAAACAAAGCCAAAGGAAAGAGACACAGAUGCCACAGCACAGGGCGCUGGGGCAAGGGUGAGUAACCGUGGGACCACACGGGCGUUUCUGGCAAGUGUGUGGGGCACGGGAGCGGGCGGGACGAGGACCAGGACUCCUGCCCGCCAAGUGACCUCAGGCAGGGCUGCCCGAGAGCCUCCAGGAGUCUUUCCCCAGGGCGCCGUGGUGGCCCUUCCUAUCAGGACGUCUCCUGCCAGACCCAACCGGACGUGCAGCACGGCAGGCGAGCAAAGGUCCUGGGACAUUGAGAGAGCGGCGGGAAAUCAGUGGUAGGAUGAGCACGUCUCAUGUGGAAAGUCAGCAGUAACUUGGAACAUGUCAUAGGGACCAUCUGAGACCCCAUCUCAACAGUAACCAGCAGGGAGUAAACCUACCCGGAAAGGCAGAGGCCUGACAUGGAGAAGCUCACGAAGGAGACACGUCACCUGGAGGCAACGACGGAACAGAGAGAGAACUCUCAGGUUUAAAGACUGAGCGUAAGUCAGAGCAAAGUCACGUGCGGCUCUUAAACCUGCCGAUGUGACGCAGAGCUUGUCUGGAAGCGUAAGUGAACGCAAAGAACCACAGCUUUUGAGAGAAGACUAUCGAGGACCGAGGUUCUGCACCAGAUGGUCAACCACAGCGUGAAGCUAAAACCCUGCGAAGAUCUGGUGCAGCCGCGAGAAUCGUCAUCUGUGUCAGCAGAGGAGCACAGACCACUGCGAAAGAAUCAGAAUUUAAGAAAUAAUGGCAUGUGUUCAUGUAAUAGUUUACUAAGUGCCAAUAGCAUCAUCAUCGAUUAGUAAAUAGAAGCUUAUUCAGUCAAUGACACGGGAUCAAGAAAUAAACUACGUAUGAUAAAGUUACACUUUCCCACAUCCCCUUAGAAUAUGAUACAUUCUAGGUAGAUUUGAUUUUAAAAUAAAACCACGAAAGAACUAGAAGACAAAACAAAACAGCACAAUGUUUACUGGCUCUAAGGUAAAAACGACAUCUUUAGAAGAAUACGUGAGAAAGCACACGAAAAAUAGAUUUGAGUAGACAUUGAAAUUAUAAUUUUGGGGGCCGGCCUGGUGGUGCAGUGGUUAAGUUUGCACAUUCUGCUUCGGCGGCUCGGGGUUCACUGGUUCGGAUCCCGGGUGUGGACAUGGCAC